rnacentral:rRNA from 1 species
UUAGGAAUUUUCCGCAAUGGGCGAAAGCCUGACGGAGCAAUGCCGCGUGAGUGAUGAAGACCCUUGGGUUGUAAAACUCUGUCGGAGGGAACGAAAAUUUGACGGUACCCUCCAAGAAAGCCCGGCUAACUACGUGCCAGCAGCCGCGGUAAUACGUAGGGGGCGAGCGUUAUCCGGAUUUACUGGGCGUAAAGCGCGUUAAGGCUGCUUCGCAAGUUGGUGGUGAAAUUUCAGGGCUCAACCCUGAAACUGCCUCCAAUACUGCGGAGCUUGAGUGCGAGAGAGGAAGGUGGAAUUCCCGGUGUAGUAGUGAAAUGCGUAGAUAUCGGGAGGAACACCAGUGGCGAAGGCGGCCUUCUGGCUCGCAACUGACGCUGUAACGCGAAAGCGUGGGGAGCGAACGGG